rnacentral:rRNA from 1 species
UUCCCGCUGUCGGUUCGCCGCCCGUCGGUGUCAACUGGCAUGUCCUGUGGAACGUCCUGCCGGUGGCGGACCGGGCUUUCGGCUUGCGUAAGGGCUUACGCCCGAAGCAGGCCGAACAGUACCGGCCGCCGGUCCAAUCCCGCCACGGUGCUCUUCACCGAGUGUCGAGGUGGGCCGGCACGUUUACUUUGAACAAAUUAGAGUGCUUAAAGCAGGCUGGUGUCCGCCUGAAUACUGUGUGCAUGGAAUAAUAGAAUAGGACCUCGGUUCUAUUUUGUUGGUUUUCGGAACCCGAGGUAAUGAUUAAUAGGGACAGGCGGGGGCAUUCGUAUUGCGACGUUAGAGGUGAAAUUCUUGGAUCGUCGCAAGACGAACCUAAGCGAAAGCAUUUGCCAAGUAUGUUCUCGUUAAUCAAGAACGAAAGUUAGAGGUUCGAAGGCGAUCAGAUACCGCCCUAGUUCUAACCAUAAACGAUGCCAGCCAGCGAUCCGCCGAAGUUCCUCCGAUGACUCGGCGGGCAGCUUCCGGGAAACCAAAGCUUUUGGGUUCCGGGGGAAGUAUGGUUGCAAAGCUGAAACUUAAAGGAAUUGACGGAAGGGCACCACCAGGAGUGGAGCCUGCGGCUUAAUUUGACUCAACACGGGAAACCUCACCAGGCCCGGACACCGGAAGGAUUGACAGAUUGAGAGCUCUUUCUUGAUUCGGUGGGUGGUGGUGCAUGGCCGUU